AUAUAAAAAACUUUUCAGGGUUCUUUCGUUUUCAAAUUUUUGUAUGAAAGCUAAGAGGGAAAGAGGUUAGAUUCCUCUACAGCCCCCGCUACUGUAAGCAAUACGAAAUCCCCAAUAUGCCACUGAGUUUUCGGGAAGGCGGGGAGAUUAGGAUGAUUUGCAAGUCAGGAUACCUGCCCUGGAGGAUUUUAUCUA
rnacentral:ncRNA from 2 species